CGCCGAGAAUAUGUUUUUGGUCUGCUAGAGAAUUUGCCUCUUCAAAUGUUGUGUAAACCUUUUUGGAUGAGGGAAUAUUUUUUUAGAAUGUGCACAUAAGGUACUUCUCAGAGAACAUUUAAGGAUGGAGAUUUAUGCCCAUUUUGAUGGGAAAGGUGCU